rnacentral:rRNA from 1 species
AACACAUGCAAGUCGAGCGGUAACAGAAAAGAAGCUUGCUUCUUUUGCUGACGAGCGGCGGACGGGUGAGUAAUGCCUGGGAAUAUACCCUGAUGUGGGGGAUAACUAUUGGAAACGAUAGCUAAUACCGCAUAAUCUCUUGUCUUUUACGAGAUGGGAGCAAAGAGGGGGACCUUCGGGCCUCUCGCGUCAGGAUUAGCCCAGGUGGGAUUAGCUAGUUGGUGGGGUAAGAGCUCACCAAGGCGACGAUCUCUAGCUGGUCUGAGAGGAUGAUCAGCCACACUGGAACUGAGACACGGUCCAGACUCCUACGGGAGGCAGCAGUGGGGAAUAUUGCACAAUGGGCGAAAGCCUGAUGCAGCCAUGCCGCGUGUAUGAAGAAGGCCUUCGGGUUGUAAAGUACUUUCAGUUGUGAGGAAGGGUAUGUAGUUAAUAGCUGCAUAUCUUGACGUUAGCGACAGAAGAAGCACCGGCUAACUCCGUGCCAGCAGCCGCGGUAAUACGGAGGGUGCGAGCGUUAAUCGGAAUUACUGGGCGUAAAGCGCAUGCAGUGGUUCAUUAAGUCAGAUGUGAAAGCCCGGGGCUCAACCUC